rnacentral:tRNA from 1 species
CGGGGAGUAGCGCAGCUCGGUAGCGCACCUGACUGGGGGUCAGGUGGUCGGGGGUUCAAAUCCCCCCUCCCCGA